CUGAGCCUGUCCUGAUAACGUGCGGUCAGAUCCCCUACAUUAGCUAUAACCCAGCGCUGUCUGAGCCUGUCCUGAUAAUGUGCAGUCAGAUCCCCUACAUUAGAUAUAAACCCAGCGCUGUCUGAGCCUGUCCUGAUAACGUACAGUCAGAUCCCCUACAUUAGAUAUAAACCCAGCGCUGUCUGAGCCUGUCCUGAUAACGUG